CUUGAGCGAGCCCAGCCACAACCGCUGUCCGCCGGGACGUUCGGCUCCGUAGGUGGCGAGGAGGGCCUGCGCCUC
rnacentral:antisense_RNA from 1 species